rnacentral:rRNA from 1 species
CUACGGGAUGCUGCAGUGAGGAAUAUUGCACAAUGGGGGGAACCCUGAUGCAGCAACGCCGCGUGGAGGAUGACGCAUUUCGGUGUGUAAACUCCUUUUAUAUGUCAAGAAAAUGACGGUAGCAUAUGAAUAAGCACCGGCUAACUCCGUGCCAGCAGCCGCGGUAAUACGGAGGGUGCAAGCGCUACUCGGAAUCACUGGGCGUAAGGGACGCGUAGGCGGGUUGGAAAGUCAGGUGUGAAAUCCUACAGCUUAACUGUAGAACUGCACUUGAAACUUCUAAUCUAGAGUAUGGGAGGGGGAGAUGGAAUUAGUGGUGUAGGGGUAAAAUCCGUAGAUAUCACUAGGAAUACCUAAAGCGAAGGCGAUCUCCUGGAACAUUACUGACGCUAAGGCGUGAAAGCGUGGGGAGCAAACAGGAUUAGAUACCCCCGUAGUC